GGGGAUUUAGCUCAGUGGUAGAGCGCUUGCUUAGCACGUGCAAGGCCCUGGGUUCAAUCCUCA
rnacentral:tRNA from 1 species